UUGUUCAGGAAAGAACCAAGAAGACACCGAAACCGAAGACUCGGCCCAUUUGCUGCGCGAGCAGCAGGAGUCCAACGCCGCCGCCGCCGUCUCUGCAGAGCCGCCUUCCCUUGCUCCGCAGUCCGAGAUCACUGAAGAAGAGGUCCAUGGGCCACCGGAAGCCGGAGACCGGGACCCCUCCGCCGCCACAGCCGCGGCGGCCGAACGGAAGGGCGACGAGACCAUGUCUCUUUUCCGACGGGGCUCCGAAGGUGGCAAGCCCCCUCUUCCUCCACGCCCUCCCUCCAUCUCGAGAACCAGAGGUCCGAGCUCCGCAGGCGGCAAGCCCCCUCUUCCUCCACGCCCUCCCUCCGCCUCGAGAACCAGAGUUCCGAGCUCCUCGGGCGGCAAGCCCCCCAGCCCGCCCUCUCCGCCCCGCAGCAUAUUCCACGAGGUGUGGGGGAGCAGCAUGGCGAUGAGAGAUGGUGACAGAGAGAGUCGCUUCGAUUUGAAGGACGUGUUCGAUGAACUGAUGGUGGAGUGCCGGCGGAACGGGGAAACGGACCAGAAAGCCGAGGCUGAGGUAAUAUCAGCAUCUAAGAGAGAUUUUGAGUCUAUAUCAGGCUGAGGUAAUACCGAGGGAACGGAAUGCGCAGGUGUUAUUUCCUAGAUAUUUUGACUACGUUCUUGAGCGAUUCCUGUUUUCUUGUGAUUUUGCAUUUGGGAGAUCGAAUCCUGCCGUUCAUGGGGAUCUUGUGGGGAGGAUUUUAGGAUACUGGAGUCCGGGGCUAAGAAAUUGUAUGGCAUCCUGGAGCAGGGGUGGAAUCCUUAGGCAGACGUUGGGGCCAGUUUCUCUUUCUUUGUUGCUUAGAGUGGCAACGAUCUUGCAGAGACUUUUUUAGGUGCAUGUUCUUGCGCUGUUGUAAUCGGUAUUUCUGUUCAGUUUGUUGUCAUGCUUUCAUUUCACCGUCAAAUAUGUAAGGGCCCAUCCCUAUGUUUAUUUGAGAUAGCAUAAACCAAUGUAGUUUCUUUAGAUCAUAGGCUGAAUACAUGCAUUGCUGGUUUUAGCCUUUGCCUGGCUGAUUUCUGGACUAAAGCAUAAUCAUAUUUUGAGUAGCUGACAAGGCUCGAUAAGUGCCAAUUUUGUUAUCACUGCUCCUUUAUUUGAAUAUUUGAUGUUAGUUUUGGAACAGGUGAAAGACAAGAAACCGCUCUGGAGAAAGGUACAAUAUGACCUGAAUAUUUCUUCAUCUUUGGUUGUGAUUGGUAACUGGUGUGAGCACUCUUGUGCCAAUUUUUUGUGUUUCAGAUGUUGGAUCAGGAUUGUUCAGUCUUUGUUCUAUCCAUGCUUAUAUGAAAUAUUGGGACGAUAAAAUAUAUUCUGGCAGGAGAUCAUGUUCAAAAUGGGUGUAGCAUAGAGAUGAAAGCAAUGGCAGAUGUUUAUAGUUUCUGUUCUGCCAAGAUUAUAUGAUUUUUUAUUACUAUUGUGAUCAGAAAUGGAAUUUCAAGUGCAAAAAACAACAUUUUUGUGAUGUUUUUAUAAUUUUGAAAAGUGCGAAGUGUUAUUGCUUACACUGAUAUUAUUAACGGUCAGUAUUUAUGUCUUAUUCUUCAUUGUACCACAAAUUGUCCUUGUUGCCGUGUUUCUAAGGAAUUCUGAAGCCAAACAUACAGGAUUCUGAUGUUGAUGAAUAGUCUAAUAGCUGAAGUUAGUAUAUGAUUAGUAAAAGAGGCAAUUGUCAGAUACAUAAGAUCUUGGAUAUUACUGUAGUAAUAUCUUUAAAAAGUUCCAUUGCCUUCUCCAUUGUUUCCUUCUGUGAACUGUUGGGUCUUGGCAUUAAUUAUUUACUGUUGCUUCUAAUCUAAUCCUGCCAAAAAAUGUGAAAUUUUUAACCCAUUUUAUGUGAAAUAGUUUUUUGACAGGAUAGGAAACUCCAACCGAAAUUACACGACACCUGAUGUGAACUACCAGAAAGUUCACAUAACCGAGCUCAUUAGGCAUUACGAUCUCUUUGCAAUGGUUGCUGUACAAGGAGUGGAAUUGCAUUUACAUGCUCUGAACCUUUGUCGUGAAUAUUCUGAAUUUAGGCCUGUGCAUGGAGAUGGAGAGUGUUUCUACAGGAGCUUCAUAUUUUCAUACCUCGUAAAUGUCCUCCCUUUUCCUUUGAAUAAUAUUUAUGUUUUGUGGUUAACACCCCAGUUUGCGCCACUCUAAAACAGGAGCAAGUUCUUGAUAGGCAGGAUACACAUGAGGAGCACCGUCUUCUUGCUGCUGUUAAAGGAGUGGCUAGGCAACAUGCACGCCUUGGGUGGGCGUGGGCCUCCGAAUUUUCCAGGAGCCACAAAGAUAUGCACCAUUGUUUCAAUGUAGUGGAAUAGGGGCAUGCCAUCACAAUUUUACAACCUGUUCAUGGGUUCAAAUUUGAAUUUAUUGGAAAUGUAACAAUCUAAUGCUAAUAAAUAUACAUGUUGACAUAAGUUCAUUUUUACAGAACAGCAUCAUGAGACAUCGUUGUAGAGAGAUAAAAGAGAUCAUGUUUCUUCCUUACACCAAGACAAUGCACACCCAUGCUGCUUUGUGUGGCCAUCUGAUCAAAUACUAAUCCUACAUGCUUAUUAAAUAUUUUCUUUCUCAACUACUAUCUUAUAGUUGUUUACUGGUAGAAGUGGCGCAGACAAAUCUUACGUUGGUCAUAUCUUUUUGCACCUUGUUAUAAACAGUCAGUACUGUGUAAAGCCUUAUUGCAAGAAAAUAUCUGAUUCGUUUAGGCAUUUAAGAAGCUAAUAAAUAAAGUAAUGAGAUGGAAGACACAAAGACGAGGGAAGCAUGUACCGACAAUUAACAGCUACCGCAUGGAGAAACUUCUUGAGUUCUUCAGAGAUAACAAGAGGAUAGACGACAGUGAGUAGCCCUUCCUCCACUUGUAAUCCUAAUUUCUAGUUCAUUGUUCAAACACAUUUUGUUGGCCAGUUUUUACUUUCCUCAGAUUGGUAGCAGCUAUCUGGAUAUGCUCGCACAGGCAAGAGUUUGAACCACUUAUACCUGAGCUCAGCCAAGGUUACACUCUCACCGAGGUAAGUAGCACCGCUAGUUUACCUUGGAUUCUUGGAUUACUUGGUUCUAUCCUCGUAUCUCUCUUUAUUUAAAACAGUGGUGCUUUCGAGAAGUUAUCCAGCGUAAGGUCUUUACAGAUCAUAUUCAGAUAACAGCACUAGUCAGGGCGCUUCGGGUGCCUCUGCGAGUGGAGUACCUCUUUCAAGUAGAUGGUCAAGACCUCUAUACUGGCGGCCAAGAUUCCCAAGAUGAUAUGCCAAGAAGCACGUGUUGGCCACGUCGUUAUCACCAGGUACCCCCUGAUCAUGAAGUUCCCCGAGUGACCGUGCUGUACACGCAGGAGCACUACGACAUCAUAUACCCAUAGCAUCCUGGUAGUCCUGUGACAAUACAGAGAGCCCGGCCUCUAAGACUAGGAGUCCAAGUCAAUACCAGAUAAGUAGCUGCAGUGGUGAGACAUCAAGUCAACAGACUGACCGGGUAGAGGGCGGAGGCGGGAGGUUAAGUUCGUCCCUGACCAGUGACCAUGACUAUGAUGAACAUGUGUUGAGAGAAGCUACGGGAUUGAGAAUUACGCAUACACUGACGAGAUAGAUAGGCAUAUAUUUGUGGAUUCUUUAUCCUGUUGGUACAAACUGCUGGUGCCAAUAGGAUUGUGGAUGAUCAGUAGUUGCUCCUCCCUUGUAUCUGACAAGGCUGAAAACUUUGUUCUGUAGCUCAGUUUAGGUCUCGACUUGGUACAUUUAUUUUAUUUUUUCUGUGAAUUGUGAUCACAUUUCCUUAA